UAAUUUUAAAAAGCAGUCACAACAAUAUGGCAUUUGUAUAUGAUUUUUCAUGUUUGGGUCAGCAUAAAAGAAGUUGUGGAAGGAAAGGACUAGGCCCUUUAUAGCAGCUAUCAAUGAGGUAGGAAUGGAGAGGGUGGGGGGAAAUUUUAAUUUUUUUAUAUACAUUUUUGAACUUUUUUACUAAUUAAAAUAGGUAUUAAUAUUUUUUAUAAUUGGACAUCUUAAUAAAAAUUAAAAUUCAAAGAUAGACAGCUAAAAUGAGGUAUUCCUAUAUAUCUUUCAGGACAUAAGGUUUGUUCUGUACAUUUUAGGUCAUAGGCUCUAUCAUAAUUCCUCUUUAUUUUUCGUUUAUUACCCCCAAAAGGUAAAAGAAAUGCUAACCUUCCAGCAGUCAUGUCCAUGAAAUUCAGGUGCGGAGAGGAGAGAGGCAGCAGGGGAAUUUUCCAGCACUCAUACUUCAGAAAACUCCCCAAUGGAUGUUGAAAACCACCUCUUCAAAGCCCACCCUGUGCUCAGAGCAACGGCUUUACAUAUUAGGUUCUGUUAUGCACUACAUGCAAAAGAUUGAGUCAGUCUCAGAGAUUUGUUGAAAGGACUGUACCAGGUCUGGAAGAAAUUAUAGGUGCACCAUGAGAAGAAUGAGUUUCUGAGGCAAGUGUAUGCAUUCAAAGAUUUUUUAUACAGAAGAGAUUUGUUUUUGUUUUUGUGGUUUUUUUUCUUUUUUUACUAUCUUCUAUUUGACGAAAUUGAUGGUGGGACUGGGAAGAACAUGAAAAUUCUCAGCCUUAUCUAUGCUGCUCAAACGUCUCUGUCUUGUGGUUUAAAACUUCACCCCUUUUCCACUGAUACUUUUCUAUCAGCAUAAGAGACCUAGAGAUGUUGAGAAUUUAUUAGAAUUAAAACUCCGCAAUUGUCACAAUCAAACCUUGGACUUAGUUCUCUUCUAUAUCUUCUCUAUGGCCGUAGGAAAUGAGAGGCUCAUUCAAAUCUGCUCUUUAGGCUUUCUGAUCAUCCAUGCCAGAUAUUUUAAAUUUUCAAUAGCACAAUUUCUACAUCUACACUCUCU
rnacentral:lncRNA from 1 species